ensembl:lncRNA
AACCUGAUAUUGUCUCCCAUUGAUUAAUAGGCAUAUUGAGGCAUGUCUUGAGGGAAACAAGAUUCCUUUUGAGAUUCUGAGACCAAAACAGAAGUAAAAGAGAUCAUUCAGGCAUUGUCAAGAUAAUUUUAAUAUUAUUCUAUCAAAAGAUAAAGGGACCUAAAUGAAAAACCUAAGGCACAGAAUGAAUGAUGAGAAGGAAAAGUGGUAAAUAUAUGGAAGAAGAGAGAAUCCUUGAAUUAUAAAGCCUGGACAUUAUCUUGGCCUCUGUCUCCUCAGCAAGAACUUCCUCCAAAUAGCUGGUUCAGGAAAUUCAACUCGUUAAUAAUCAGUAAUAAAGGCCACUUGCACCACCUCAAAACACUUGAUUGUAGCUAGAAGUCCAAAAAGGGAUACAGCCUCAAUACAGAUACUAUAAGAUAAACAUGGAAGACAGAAGCAAAAUUUGUCA